CUACGGAAUACGAUAAAAAUUUGAAGCCUUUUUUGCUUUUUGCGCAUGCAUUUGCAGGUUGCGACACUACAAGUGCAAUUUUUAAAAAAGGAAAAAAAAAUAUAAUAUCUUUAUUGAAAAAGAAACCUGAUUUGCAAGCUCUAAUUUCUGUUUUCUAUGAGUCUAAUCGUUCAAUUGAGGAAUUAUACGCAGUAUCUGAAAAAAUUAUAUUCCAUCUCUAUGGUCAAAGUAUUACAGAUGAACUGACACUUGGUGAAUUAAGAUAUAGGAUAUUUUCAUUAUCGGCUGCUGCUUUUAAAAAAGAAGUUAUCUUAGCUUCUUUACCACCGACUGAAUCAGCCCUACGAGAACAUACAAAACGAGUGUAUUAUCAAAUUCAACAGUGGUUAGGCAACAAUCUAAAUCCGGACGAUUGGGGUUGGAGAAGAACCUUAUUUAUGAUGAUACCUAUCAUGUCAAACGCGGAACCAGCACCAAAGGAGUUAAUAGAUAAAGUAAGUUACAAUUCACACCAACUUAUCUUAUUUUAGUGUUAUCCAAUAGUAAUAAUAAAUUAUUCAUUUUGCAUUUUAUUUUAACAGGUUGCUUGUAGCUGUAAAACGAAUUGUUUAUCAGCUCGAUGUGGUUGCAAAAAAAGUGGUUUAAAAUGCAAUAAAUUUUGUAAAAGUUGCCAAGGCCAAAGCUGUGAUAACGCUUCUGCAAGAUCGUUUAAUCUUGAGGAUGAUGAAAAUGAAGAUAAAGAAGAUGAAGAAAGAGAUGAUAGUGAUGAUGAAAAUGAUGAUGAUGGAAAUGUUUAUGAGGAUGAAAAUGAUGGUGAAGAAGAAACUACUGUCGAAGACGGAGAACAAGAAAAUGAAGCUAUAUGUACAGGACGUAAAACUGUUAAAAACACUCGUUCAAAAGUAUCCACACAAAAGAUUUUUUGUGGUUGUAGAACCAAUUGUGCAUCAGCAAGAUGUAGUUGUAGAAAAAGUUCUCUCAAAUGUAAUGAAUUAUGCAAGUUUUGUCAUGGUGAUACAUGCAAUAACAGUAUAAAUGCAGGCGUUGAUACUAAUGAAGAUAGUGAAUAUGAGACACAUACAAAAGCUAACGAUAAAGACGAAGAAACACCUACUGAAGAAGAAAACGAAGGAAGCUCAACUGUUAGAGACAGCAGUCCACUUGAUGAAAUUUAUAUUAACUUUGAAAAAUUUUAAUAUAAUUUUUGGAAUUGCAAAAUCUAUAUUUUUUUAUUUAUUAUAUAAUUAGAGAAUCAAUUACUCUUAGGAAGUUUCUUCAAAUUUUUUUAAUUGUAAUACAAUUUUGUAAUCUAUUAAAAAAAAAAAAU